GGUCCAGUGGCGCAGUUGGAGCGCACCGAGUUUGAAUGCUGCAUUUAUGACUCCUUUCACUCGGAGGUCGCUGUUCAACUCAGGGCUGGGUCG